UUAGCCUAUCGCCAAGUGGUGAAGGCAUAACUGAUUUGAAGUUAGCCUAUUGUCAAGUGGUGUAGGCGUAACUGAUUUGAAGUUAGCCUAUCACCAAGUGGUGAAGGCAUAACUGAUUUGAAGUUAGCCUAUCGCCAAGUGGUGAAGGCGUAACUGAUUUGAAGUUAGCCUAUCACCAAGUGGUGAAGGCAUAACUGAUUUGAAGUUAGCCUAUCGCCAAGUGGUGAAGGCGUAACUGAUUUGAAUUUAGUUGUCAUUUAAAAUGCAUUAUUUUUGCAAUAUAACCCAACGACCCAUUUUGUAACAUCACAUGUGGCUUAUGGCAAAAGUGAAUGAGAGUAAAGCCACAAUAUCCGUAAUCUGUGAUGUGACUGUGUUGUAACCUUGAUGCCUGUUGUCAUAAAACUGUAUGUCAUCAUAGAAUGUCAGAGCAUGAUAGACAUUGAGAGAAACACAUAGAUGCUUACUUUCUCAUAGAUUGCUGUUAAAUGUGCACACUGGUAUAGACAUUGUUUUCUGUGUUUUCUUAGAGAUGUUAAUGUUUCCGUUUCAUGUUAAUACAUUUAUUAUGUAAUGCAAGGGGCUAUUGCUGUAAUUUUUAUGUAAACCAAUAACAAGAGUACAUGACACUUUUAUGGAUAACAACUUCGUUUUAUUCUUUACACACGACGUUUCAGGGCUUAUUCGUGCUCCUUCAUCAGGUGAAUACUGAGAAGGAGCAAGAAUUAGCUCUGAAACGUUGUGUAAAGAAUAAAAAGAAGUUGUUAUCCAUAAAAGUGUCAUGUAUUCAUGUUGGUCCAACUUCUAAAUGCCUUUCAAAACUUGAAUAACACGAGGCUUUUAAAUUCUUUGAAUUAGUGAUUGAAGUAUUUACAAACAGCUUAUCUGAUUGCAGAUUCUUGAAAACAAACUUAUACUAGUCCCACAAAUAGAAAUUUAAUGACACCAUGUUGGAGAUUUCAUACAUCCUGUCAUUUCUUAGUGCCGUUUUCCAUAUAAGGAAUAUGUGUGUUCUGUGAGCGCAGUUUCUAUAACAAAUUUCCAAA